AGUGAACGCUGGCGGUAGGCCUAACACAUGCAAGUCGAACGGCAGCACAGUAAGAGCUUGCUCUUACGGGUGGCGAGUGGCGGACGGGUGAGGAAUACAUCGGAAUCUACUUUUUCGUGGGGGAUAACGUAGGGAAACUUUCGCUAAUACGGCAUACGACCUACGGGUGAAAGCAGGGGUUCUUCGGACCUUGUGCGAUUGAAUGAGCCGAUGUCGGAUUAGCUAGUUGGCGGGGUAAAGGCCGACCAAGGCGACGGUCCGUAGCUGCUCUGAGAGGAUGAUCAGCCGUACUGGAACUGAGACACGGUCCAGACUCCUACGAGAGGCAGCAGUGGGGAAUAUUGGACAAUGGGCGCAAGCCUGAUCCAGCCAUACCGCGUGGAUGAAGAAGGCCUUCUGGUUGUAAAGCCCUUUUGUUGGGAAAGAAACGCAGCAGCUUAAUACCCCGCUGUGCUGACGGUACCCAAAGAAUAAGCGCCGGCUAACUUCGUG
rnacentral:rRNA from 1 species